GGGCCCGCACAAGCGGUGGAGCAUGUGGUUUAAUUCGACGCAACGCGAAGAACCUUACCAGGGUUUGACAUCCCCUGACAGCUGUGGAAACAUAGUGUUUUAUCUUCGGAUAGACAGGGAGACAGGUGGUGCAUGGUUGUCGUCAGCUCGUGUCGUGAGAUGUUGGGUUAAGUCCCGCAACGAGCGCAACCCCUACGUUUAGUUGCUAACAGGUGAAGCUGAGCACUCUAGAGGAACUGCCGUUGACAAAACGGAGGAAGGUGGGGAUGACGUCAAAUCAUCAUGCCCCUUAUGUCCUGGGCUACACACGUGCUACAAUGGCCGGUACAAAGGGCAGCGAAGCUGUGAAGCGGAGCAAAUCCCAAAAAGCCGGUCUCAGUUCGGAUUGCAGGCUGAAAUUCGCCUGCAUGAAGUCGGAAUCGCUAGUAAUCGCAGGUCAGCAUACUGCGGUGAAUACGUUCCCGGGCCUU
rnacentral:rRNA from 1 species